GUUGUAGUUUAUAGAGGGUGUUUCGGGGACGGCGCCGGUCUAAGUCCCUUGGAACAGGGCGUCACAGAGGGUGAGAAUCCCGUACGUGACCGGCGACCAACCCCGUGUGAAACCCCUUCGACGAGUCGAGUUGUUUGGGAAUGCAGCUCAAAACGGGUGGUAAAUUUCAUCUAAAGCUAAAUACCGGCCGGAGACCGAUAGCGCACAAGUAGAGUGAUCGAAAGAUGAAAAGCACUUUGGAAAGAGAGUCAAAAAGCACGUGAAAUUGUUGAAAGGGAAGCGCUUGCGACCAGACCUGCCCGUGGGCGAUCAGCCUCGGUUCUCCGGGGUGUACUCGUCCGCGAUCAGGCCAGCAUCGGUUCGGGCGGCGGGAUAAAGGCCUUGGGAAUGUAGCUCCCUCUCGGGGGAGCGUUAUAGCCCUCGGCGCAAUGCCGCCAGCCCGGACCGAGGACCGCGCUUCGGCUAGGAUGCUGGCGUAAUGGUCGUCAGCGACCCGUCUUGAAACACGGACCAAGGAGUCUAACGUUUAUGCGAGUGUUUGGGCGUUAAACCCAUACGCGGAAUGAAAGUGAGCGGAGGUGAGAACCCCCGGAGGGCGCAUCAUCGACCGAUCCAGAUGUCUUCGGAUGGAUUUGAGUACGAGCAUAACUGUUGGGACCCGAAAGGCAAGAGAGACCCUGUGGCGUUUCGAUAAAGGGGGGAUAGAACGGCUGACUCGUCUUCUAGAUGGUGAACUAUGCCUGAAUAGGGUGAAGCCAGAGGAAACUCUGGUGGAGGCUCGCAGCGGUUCUGACGUGCAAAUCGAUCGU
rnacentral:rRNA from 1 species